UACACACCGCCCGUCACGCCAUGGAAGCUGGGGGGACCUGAAGUCGGCGGGCCAACCGCAAGGAGGCAGCCGCCAAAGGUCAAUUCAGUGACUGGGGCG
rnacentral:rRNA from 1 species